rnacentral:lncRNA from 1 species
UUUCUAGCUAAUAGUCUUUUUCUCUCAUUCACUCAGUUUCUUUGGGUGCGGACUAGUUGUUUUUGGUCAAGUAAUAAUCUCUUCUUUUGUUCUACUGAAAUUCUUGACGUUUUGGUCGGGAAUAAGUUUAGCUCCUUUUGCUUGUCUAGAAAAUUGAGGGAAAGUAACAGAGAUAAUUUAGAACCCUUUAAGAUUUUUGCCACUAUGGUUUAGUCCUUCACUUUCCUGGAGUUAUGAGAUUCGGUUAAAUGGAAGAAGGGGCUGUUUCUGGUUUUGAGAUUGAGAGAUGGGGUCUUGAAAAGUGGCAUGGCUGGUGGUUGUUUAGGCUAUCAUUGUGUGGGUGGUCGCCAAAAUUCACCAGGGAGAGGAAAUGGGAA